GCGGUCGUGCCCUCGAGUAGUUCACAGUCUAGUCGUUCACUUCUCUGUCUCCACUAGGCUGGGAGCUCUCUGUGGACAAGAUCCGCAGCCCCUCCUC
rnacentral:miRNA from 1 species